AAAAUAAAUCAUUGGCUCUUAAAUGUGCAUAACAGAAUACUGAUGUGUAGUUAGUGUCACAAACAUGUCUCAAAAUUUGGAUAAGUGUGAAGACAUUUUAUUUUCUACAAUGGAGAACACAUACUUUAGCAAUGUCUAUCAGCAACUGAUGUGAGCAAGUCAUACAACACAGGUACUAUUUGCAGCCAGUAAGAUACAUAGGCUACAAUAAAUGAGAGAUGAGAGAAACCAAAGAAGAUUUUGUAUUUACUAAGACAAACCCAAAAAUGUCUGAUGUUAAGGACAUGAGAAAGAAUGACAGGGUAGUAAACAGUUCUAUUCAAACAGCAGUAUAACAUUAAACGCUACCAAGGGAACAGUGUAAUGCAUUUCAAAUAUAUUGCUCCCAAAUUCUAGUAUUUAGAAAUGUGACAAGAACAUAAAUAGGAGCCACCAGGAAGAACAUGAAACGUAUCUAGAC
rnacentral:lncRNA from 1 species